rnacentral:rRNA from 1 species
GUACAAAGAGCUGCAAGACCGCGAGGUGGAGCUAAUCUCAUAAAACCGUUCUCAGUUCGGAUUGUAGGCUGCAACUCGCCUACAUGAAGCUGGAAUCGCUAGUAAUCGCGGAUCAGCAUGCCGCGGUGAAUACGUUCCCGGGCCUUGUACACACCGCCCGUCACACCACGAGAGUUUGUAACACCCGAAGUCGGUGGGGUAACCUUUAUGGAGCCAGCCGCCUAAGGUGGGACAGAUGAUUGGGGUGAAGUCGUAACAAGGUAGCCGUAUCGGAAGGUGCGGCUGGAUCACCUCCUUU